AACUUACAGUUCUGUUAGUGAAUUUUCCACUUACACUGGAAGGGUUCUUGUGCAAUUCGAGAUGGGUUGAU
rnacentral:tRNA from 1 species